rnacentral:rRNA from 1 species
UAAGGAAUAUUGCGCAAUGGGGGAAACCCUGACGCAGCAACGCCGCGUGGAGGAUGACACUUUUCGGAGCGUAAACUCCUUUUAUCAGGAAAGAAUAAUGACGGUACCUGAUGAAUAAGCACCGGCUAACUCCGUGCCAGCAGCCGCGGUAAUACGGGGGGUGCAAGCGUUACUCGGAAUCACUGGGCGUAAAGGACGCGUAGGCGGAUUAUCAAGUCUUUUGUGAAAUCUAGUGGCUUAACCACUAAACUGCUUAGGAAACUGAUAGGCUAGAGUAGAGGAGAGGUAGAUGGAAUUCUUGGUGUAGGGGUAAAAUCCGUAGAGAUCAAGAAGAAUACCCAUUGCGAAAGCGAUUUGCUGGAACCUAACUGACGCUGAGGCGUGAAAGCGUGGGUAGCAAACAGG